UGGUAUCCUCCAUUAUUACCGCUCCCCUUCACAUCCUCCACUAUCUCCCGAUCUGUCCUCUCCAUAACCCCUUUAUCUUCACCUUCCUCACGCGUCGCUAAUACGAGCUCCCGACGCCAUCCAGCAUGUGGCCGUCCCUCUGUCUGUUCGUCAUCCUCGGCUAGUUUUCAUUUUCUGUUUCUAUGUUUCAGUUUCUCAGUUCCCAGCAGACUCCUCACCAUUAACCGUAUCAGCACCCCAUCCCCCGUCAUCAUGUAUUAUUGAUGUGAAAUCGGGACAGAUCACAGAUGAUGCCCUAUCGCAAGUCCCAACGAGGUCCAUUGCUUCUCCUUCUCCAGAUCAGUGAGAUGUUGGUGUGCUGCGGUUGGAAAACAAAACUGGCAGGGCUUGAGGGGAACGAGUGAAAUAUUUGAGAGGAGCAGCAUGGCCUGCACCGUGAUAUCGAUAAUUGAUAUCUGAACAGAGCAGGGUCGAGGGACUCGUACAGUUGGAUGAAAUCAUCUUUUGGGAUUUCUUAAACUGCUGACAGUUGCGUUACAAGUCCUAAGGUAAAUAUUCUUUGAAUUUUAUUUGCCCACCAAAUUGAUUUAAUGAUUUUUUAUUUUUUUGUAUAUAUAUGUGCUAAGUGUGUAAUUUAUGUGUCGUUCUCCAUUUUUCCAUACUAUUUAUGCAUUAUGAGUUAAAUCUUUUUAGUACUUGCCAAUUCACUUUUCCAUGGAUGCCCCUUCAAAUCAGAAAGUCGCUAUAAAAAGUUCAUUCAAAUCAAGUUGCUGUCUAUUGGAUUGAUGAUGCAUUUUUUCACCAAGUUUCAAAUCGGUAAGGUGUGAUACAUCUUUUUCAGCAAUCUGUAGCAACAUCUAACAGCGGAACAACAAAGUUAUUCCCACAGCACGGCACAAGGAGUCAUGUCAUGUUAUCUUGAUUCAUUUUCUCUCUCUUGGGUGUGCAAUGCUCUUUAGACAAACUACUUUCACCAAAGACGCCCUGUGGUCAUCCAUAUAUGUACCGACAUCACCCUAGAAGACAUCGUCAAUGCUCCUCUACUGCGAGAUCUACGUCAUCAGGUAAAGCCACACCAGAUCUACAUAGAAUAUUUAUUUGAUAUUAAAGCAUCUCCAUCGGUAGCCCUCAAAUAGGCGUCGGCAGGGACGUCGACACCUCCGUUUGGGGGACGCCAGCACAGCAUCCUCCAUUUAGGAGCUGCUCCCAUACCGGCGCCCCCAAACAGG